rnacentral:lncRNA from 1 species
AGAGCCUGCGCCCGUUCUGGGAAGGAGAGCUGACCCUGUUUCUCCACUUGAUCCACCACCAUCUUGGAUGUGUGCAUACAUCCUGACAGGGUACCAGGGAGAAAGGGCGAAUUUUUGUUAGUGAGAUAUAAAAGGGGCCCGUAAUUGUUGCUCUUGGCAGGUAUGAAUUCUACAUCCCUUUUUUGUUUUUAGAGAUUCUCAUAUAACCCAGACUGAAGCCAGUUAUAGACUUGAAUACCUGAUUCUCCUGCCUCCAAAUUAGCAUCAUCAUUAUAUCGGCUGAUCAUUAUUUAUACAUGCUAGACAUGGACUGCACUACUGAGCUACAUUCCUAGCUCUUUUACAUCCAAGGGAACACCCAAAUGUAUUUAAUAGUAUUCCUUUACUCUUAAAAUAUUUAUCUCUUCCAAAAGAAUAUUUAAAACAAUUUUUAUGUUUCCUGCAAAAUGUUUACACCUGCUCCAGAUUGCAGCUCGAUCAUAGCUGGUGUUAUCUAAGAUAAUCACACCAGGGCUGGAGAGAGUGCUCAGUGGUGAAGAGGACCUGGGUUCCAUUCCCAGCACCCACGUAGUGACUGACAAUUGUCUGUUCCAGGAGAUCUGACUUCCUCUUCAAGCACAGACAUACCUGCAAGCAAAAACAUACAUACACAUAAAAUUAAGAUAAAUAAAUCUCCAAUAAAAAUAAAAUUAAC